UGAACUCAUUGAGAGUUGAGGCAGCGCAUGCUUGCAUGCCAGUGCUUAGACACUUAAAUUUUCUCAGCAUCUGAAAUGAAGUAGGACCACCCGCUGAACUUAAGCAUAUCAUUAAGCGGAGGAAAAGAAACUAACAAGGAUUCCCUCAGUACGGGCGACGGAAGCGGGAAAAGCCCACAUUGGUAAUCUCCGGGCGCUAGCUCGGCGAAUUGUAAUCUGAAGAUCGUUAGUCUAAUUGGGCCCGACGCCGAAGUGCGCGCGAGCGCGCCGCCAAAGAGGGUGAGAGCCCCGUCAGGCGCUGGGCCCUACAAGGGCUGGCAAUCGAAGAGUCGUGUACUUUGAUACUAGUGCACCAAGCGGGAGAUAAACUUCUUCUAAGGCUAAAUAUAAGUAGGAAACCGAUAGCGAACAAGUACUGUGAAGGAAAGAUGAAAAGCACUUUGGAAAGAAAGUUAAAAGACUUGAAAUCGUUGAGGCGGACCCGGUAGAAAUGUAUUCUAGCGAAGCGCUCGGGGAAGCCUGUAUUCGGGCCACUUGAGCGCCAGCCGAGACAAGAUGGAGUCGCAUCAUGCCAGAGGCGGCGCGCUUUGUAGCUUGCUAUAGAGCGCGCUGGCCGGGCGUGGCGCGGCUUGAGGGGCCUUGUGCGAUCUUGUCAAAAUGGUUUUUACCGACUCGUCUUGAAACACGAACCAAGGAGUCUAAGACUAACGCGAGUGUGGUGGUGGAGAAACCAACACGCGAAAUGAAAGUAAAUGAUGCCAAGCACCCUGCAGCAUCGACCGACUUUUUUCUCUUGGAAGAGGUUUGAGUAAGAGCGUUAUUCUUAGGACCCGAAAGAUGGUGAACUAUGCCUGUGUAGGGUGAAGUCAGGGGAAACUCUGAUGGAAGCUCGUAGCGAUACUGACGUGCAAAUCGUUCGUCGAACAUGGGUAUAGGGGCGAAAGACUAAUCGAACCAUCUAGUAGCUGGUUCCCUCCGAAGUUUCCCUCAGGAUAGCUGGGACAGCUACGCAGUUUUAUUAGGUAAAGCGAAUGAUUAGAGGCAUCGGGGAUAAAAUGUCCUUGACCUAUUCUCAAACUUUAAAUUGGUAAGAACUCCUUUCUUUGCUUAAUUGAAGAAGGAGGUUCAAUGCGUGUCCUUAGUGGGCCAUUUUUGGUAAGCAGAACUGGCGAUGAGGGAUGCUCCUAACGUCGGGUUAAGGUGCCAAACUACACGCUCAUCAGAAACUACAAAGGGUGUUAGUUCAUGAAGACAGCAGGACGGUGGCCAUGGAAGUCGGAACCCGCUAAGGAGUGUGUAACAACUCACCUGCCGAAUG
rnacentral:rRNA from 1 species